UGGGGAAUAUUGCACAAUGGGCGCAAGCCUGAUGCAGCCAUGCCGCGUGUAUGAAGAAGGCCUUCGGGUUGUAAAGUACUUUCAGCGGGGAGGAAGGGAGUAAAGUUAAUACCUUUGCUCAUUGACGUUACCCGCAGAAGAAGCACCGGCUAACUCCGUGCCAGCAGCCGCGAUAAUACGGAGGGUGCAAGCGUUAAUCGGAAUUACUGGGCGUAAAGCGCACGCAGGCGGUUUGUUAAGUCAGAUGUGAAAUCCCCGGGCUUAACCCGGGAAUUGCAUCUGAUACUGGUCAGCUAGAGUCUUGUAGAGGGGGGUAGAAUUCCAUGUGUAGCGGUGAAAUGCGUAGAGAUGUGGAGGAAUACCGGUGGCGAAGGCGGCCCCCUGGACAAAGACUGACGCUCAGGUGCGAAAGCGUGGGGAGCAAACAGG
rnacentral:rRNA from 1 species